rnacentral:rRNA from 1 species
AUUGAACGCUGGCGGAAUGCUUUACACAUGCAAGUCGAACGGCAGCACGGACUUCGGUCUGGUGGCGAGUGGCGAACGGGUGAGUAAUAUAUCGGAACGUGCCCAAUCGUGGGGGAUAACGCAGCGAAAGCUGUGCUAAUACCGCAUACGAUCUACGGAUGAAAGCGGGGGAUCGCAAGACCUCGCGCGAGAGGAGCGGCCGAUGCCGGAUUAGCUAGUUGGUGGGGUAAUGGCCUACCAAGGCGACGAUCCGUAGCUGGUCUGAGAGGACGACCAGCCACACUGGGACUGAGACACGGCCCAGACUCCUACGGGAGGCAGCAGUGGGGAAUUUUGGACAAUGGGCGCAAGCCUGAUCCAGCCAUGCCGCGUGUGUGAAGAAGGCCUCGGUUGUAAGCACUUCGGUACGGAACGAAAUACGCGCGCAUGAACAUUGCGCGUGGAUGACGGUACCGUAAGAAGAAGCACCGGCUAACUACGUG